UUUUUUUUCUUUCCUUUUCUUCCCUUCUCCUUUUUCUUUUCUUUUUCUUCUUUUCUUCUCCUUCCCGAAGCUUCCUCUCCUCCCUUCUUCUUUCAUCCCGAUCUCCCCUUCCUCUUCUCCUCUACUCUCCGGCGAAGAGAGGACGACGGUCUCCUCCUCUCUUCUCCGACGAAGGGAGGACGGCGAGUGGAAGGGGGGACGGCGAGCGGAAGGGGGCCGGGCCACGACCGGCGGCGUCCGCAGCCAAGCCCCGCGGCGUCCCCGG
rnacentral:lncRNA from 1 species